UACGGAGGGUGCAAGCGUUAUCCGGAUUUACUGGGCGUAAAGGGCUCGUAGGCGGCCCGCUAAGUCGAACGUGAAAUCCCCAGGCUCAACCUGGGAACUGCGUCCGAUACUGGCAGGCUUGAAUCCGGGAGAGGGAUGUGGAAUUCCAGGUGUAGCGGUGAAAUGCGUAGAUAUCUGGAGGAACACCGGUGGCGAAGGCAGCAUCCUGGACCGGUAUUGACGCUGAGGCGCGAAAGCUAGGGGAGCAAACGGG
rnacentral:rRNA from 1 species